rnacentral:rRNA from 1 species
GACGAAGGAUGCAAGCGUUAUCCGGAUUCAUUGGGUUUAAAGGGAGCGUAGGCGGCCUUAUAAGUCAGUGGUGAAAUCUUUGGGCUUAACCCAAAAUUGCCAUUGAUACUGUAGGGCUUGAGUACAGUUGCUGUGGGCGGAAUAUGACAUGUAGUGGUGAAAUACAUAGAGAUGUCAUAGAACACCGAUUGCGAAGGCAGCUCACAAAACUGUAACUGACGCUGAGGCUCGAAAGUGCGGGGAUCAAACAGG